UUUGUUUUUUCAGUGCCUCUCCCCCCCCUCCUCCCCUCCUCACGGCUCACAGCUUCUCCUCCUCCCGGAUCUGAAGCGUCGGACUGCUGACGACAUCCUGGAGAUUCUGUGAUGAGAAGAAGAAAAAGACAACAACAAGGCGCCGAGAGCUGCAGCUAAUGGAAAGGCUGUAAUUGUGAAUGGGGGCAUUCAUCUGGAGACGUCGUCCGUGAAUUGCGCCGCACAAAGCGCAGCGCCGGGCUGCUCAGAUCACCAGCUAGUCACCAAACACGCACACACACACAUGCACACACACUGACGCACACACCGAAGCCCCUUAGAUCACUGGUGCUCGGAGGAGGAGCGUAAUCACACCUCGGCCCGGGAGCAGGACAACGGGGAGGGGAGAAGGAGUGAUGGACUGGGGGCGGGGGGAUUUAUACAACGAGAGGUGAAGGAGGAGACAGGGUUGUGAAAUUGGAGUUUCCGACCAUUUCAUUUGGACCAUGCAGCCCACGAGGAAGAUCAGAUAGAGCCACAUUCGCUUGACCCCCCCACACACACACAUGCAUACACACAAGCAAAAAAAAGCAUGGUCUGUUUCCCACAUAGGCAAGGCUGCACGCACAUACAAAGUGUAACACACAGACAUACAAAACUUAACAAUAUGUGUGUAACUUCAGAUCAGAGAACUAUCUAACGAGCGCCGCGCCUCUCUCCUCCAGCUGAAACACACACACACACACACACACACACACACACACACACACACACACACACACACACACACACACACACACACACACACACACACACACACACACACACACACACACACACACACACUCACUCACUCACUCACCCCCCUCGACCAAACAAACACCAUUAAGCCAAAACCCACAUAAAGACGGCUGAAAAAGACGCAUCAAAGUGACGGUACGUGUAAAGACAACCCUCAUGUCAGCGCGGCGGCUCCUGUACCUCCAGAGAAACAUCAGGAAACGACAACUCAAUUAAACACACCGUCCCUGUUCAAUUACUGCCACAUAAUCACUGCAUUUUAGCGUCACUUGCCACCAAACCAACACAAACACAUGCAAGCACGCGUACAGAGUCAGAGAAGCAACGCACACACACACACACACACACACACACACACACACGCUGGAGCUUCAUCCUCCACAGCUUGCGCUUAAAGCUCGGCUGUAAAACAAUUACAUGUGCAACUGUGUCCACUGUACUGUAAACAGCGUCAUUCAGUUUCACAGUGUCUGUCCUGUGCUGUUGCCUUUACUUUAGCAAAAAAGCACAUUAUAAAUGUUAUAAAUGUCUUAAACUGUCGGAAUACAGAAAAUUACAUCUGCAAGUAGGUCAACUGAGGUGUGAAUGAAAGGAGAGCUCCAGCGUUUCAGCCAAUUCUUGACAGGCUGAGAUUCUAGACAUCCAUUGCUGUUAUGUAAGAGACCUGCAUUAAAACCUCCCCUCUGUUUCUACAUGUAACUGUUUGAGAAAGCUGUUGAGUCAACUGAUUUUCAGAUUUAUGGUGCUGUUAAUACAGUGCAUGAUUCUGAGAGGUGUUUCUCAUAUUAUGUCAACCCUUUUUACAUAGAAGAGCCUCAUUUGGACCAUUAUGAAGCCUGCAUUUGUUGUAGCUGGGUGAACCAAAUAUAAUGGCAACUGUACUUUCACUACAAUUCACUAUUAUUUGUGAGACAUGUGAGAUUCAUGGGCUCAGGUGGGUUAUAUUAAUCAUAAAAGAUUCAUAAACAAACUUUUGUGCAAACCAUUCUUAUCAUAAUUUGAUUAAAAGAGGGGAUUUUUAGGGUUGGUGCUCGACGUCUUGGCUCUAAGUCUUAAUGCAACAGCAAAUAACCAUUCUAAACAAUAGUGUUUAAAUGUAAAAUAACAUCAAUAUAUCCAAAUUGAUGUAUUCUAAACGCAGCAUAACAGGAGUUUGUCUAAAAUUUUAAAUCAGAAAGGAAAAAAUGUUGGAAUGAAACAUGGAGCCGGCAAACUACUGCAAAAUGAUGGAAUUGGGGAAAAGAGUGAGGAAUGGCAACACUGUAGGAACCUGUUAAUGAGUAGUGUGUGUGUGUGUGUGCGUACAUGUGUGUUUGUGGAAAGCAGAUUGACUAACAGCUUGAACUUGGGUUUGAUCCAGAAGCACGGGGAGAGAAACAUGGAUGGAUGGAGAGAGAGGGAGAGGAGGAGGGAGAGAAGGAGGGAGAGACAUCGAUUUCUCAACAGAGACAUCAGCAUCUUGACAGAAAGAGCCGAGAGAGCAACACACACACACACACACACACACACACACACACAGGGUUCCCACUGUCCUCCGUGACCUUUCCGUGUCCCUCCAGGUUUCCUGAACCAAGCUGAAAUGACUGAAAAAGUGAAGCUACUACAAAAAUGUAAAUAAAUCCUUCUACAAAAUGU